rnacentral:rRNA from 1 species
GACAGAGGUGCCAAGCGUUAGGCGGAAUCACUGGGCGUAAAGCGCGUGUAGGCGGUCCGGUAAGUCCGCUGUGAAAGUCGAGGGCUCAACCCUCGAAUGCCGGUGGAUACUGUCGGGCUUGAGUACGGGAGAGGCGAGUGGAAUUCCUGGUGUAGCAGUGAAAUGCGUAGAGAUCGGGAGGAACAUCAGUUGCGAAGGCGGCUCUCUGGACCAGUACUGACGCUGAGGCACGAAAGCGUGGGGAGCAAACAGG